AUGUCUUGUGGUGCUAUAGAAAUGAUAAAUGAUUUGCUAUUCAAAAUUACUAAGUUUUCUUUCAUAUCCAUUCUUGUCCUUUUCUUUAUUUUUUCAGUUGUAACCAUGACAUGUCAAGCAGACAAAUUAUGUAAGACAAUCCGUUAUGGUCCUUCUAGUGUUUGUAUCCUUUGGGAUUGUCAACAAUGGUGCUAUGAGCAGCUUCUUCUUCCCUACUCUAAGUGUUCAGCGCACUCGCCUAUGUAA